GGCCAGAGUGGUGUAGUGGUUUGAGUGUUAAACUAGGAAUCUCGGAGACAAGGGUUCAAAUCCUUGCUUGGCCA